AUGGAGAGGCUACACAGCCUUCAAUUUGGAUAUCGGAAAUUCUGCUGCCUGGAAGGGAACCUGAGCUGUGCUGUCAUCUAUGUAGUGUCAUUAGAUGAGGGGGAGGAGCAGGAAUCAGGAGGGAUGAGUUCGUGUCCUGCUCCUGAGGGGGGACAAGGCCACGAGGAAGGGCCCUGCAGCUGCAGGUUCUCCAUCUGGGAGCAGCUGCAGCAGGGACAGAGGGUCCCUGACAGGGAUUUUUGUAUGAGCCUCUGUCACAGUGUGAUGUUUUUCGGCGGAGGGACCCUGCUGUCUGUCCUAGAGUUGGAAAAGGCCACUCCCGCUGUCACUCUCUUCGCACCCUCCUCUGAGGAGCUCAGAGACAACAAGGCCACACUGGUGUGUCUGAUGAGUGACUUCUACCUGGACUCUGUCUCCGUGGCCUGGAAGGCGGAUGGCAGCCCCAUCACCCAGGGCGUGGAGACCACCAAGCCCUCGAAACAGAGCAAUGGCAAAUACGUGGCCAGCAGCUACCUGAGCCUGACAGCUGACCAGUGGAAAAGUCACAGCAGGUACAGCUGCCAGGUCAUGCACGAGGGCAAAACCAAGGAGCAGACAGUGGCCCCUGCAGAAUGUGCUUAGGGGUCCCGGCCCCACCUCAGCCAUGGGGGUCUGGAGCUGCAGGAUCAUCAGGGAGGGGUCUCCCCUCCCACCCAGGUCAUCCCAGCCCUUCCCCCUGCACCCUGUAAACCC